rnacentral:lncRNA from 1 species
CACCAGUAAAACUGCACCUGAGCAGGAGAAUGGAUCUAACCACUAGAAUUUGUUUUUCAGUGUGUCCUGAGAGCACGCUUUUUGACCAUGGUCCUUCCUAGGCCUUACUACCUUUCUCUCUGGGAACCAACACAGAAAUCUUUCUGUGACUUUCUGGUUCAAAGAAGCUGAAGGAGCUUACAAGCCAGAGGAAUAUUCCAGCUGGGCUUCAUGGAGAGAACACAUGAGUGUACCGGAACACCAGGAAGCUGGGUGCAAAAUCAAAGCAACUCUUCCCAUUUUAUUUUUUAAUUUUAAUUUUGUAGAGAUGAGGUUUCUCUAUAUUGCCCUGGCUGGUCUCAAGCUCCUGAGCUCAAGCAAUCCUCCCACCUCCGCCUCCCAAAGACUUCUCAUUUUGAAGUUUUUGAUGUAAGGACCCCAUUAAGUGGAAUUAAAUAAAAACAUAUUUUAAGAAAAAGUAGAAGAGACAAUGGUAUAAAGGUUUAAGAAACACACACACACAUAUGGACAUAUUGAACUGCAUUAGUAUGUUUAAAAAAUGUAUUUUGACCUAUUUCAAACAAAUCACACUCUGAUAACUUUAGAGAUUUCUAGGCUUAAUUUCUGUGUCAUUAUAGCAAUUAAAG